rnacentral:rRNA from 1 species
UACGGGGGGAGCAAGCGUUGUUCGGAUUUACUGGGCGUAAAGGGCGCGUAGGCGGCCUCUGCAAGUCGACUGUGAAAUCUCCGGGCUUAACCCGGAACGGUCAGCCGAUACUGCAGGGCUAGAGUGCAGAAGGGGCAACUGGAAUUCUCGGUGUAGCGGUGAAAUGCGUAGAUAUCAAGCGGAACACCGGUGGCGAAGGCGGCCUUCUGGACAGUGACUGACGCUGAGACGCGAAAGCGUGGGGAGCAAACAGG